rnacentral:rRNA from 1 species
AUGCUGGUUUGGCAUCUCUAUCUCUUAGAUGGAUGCCUUAGGCAAAUGGUAAUGGUUUGGCAUCUAUCAUGGAAAAUACCAUCUGCAUUCUGCAAGAUACGUUUACUGAUGGUUGCAGCCACCAUGUUACAGCAGAGAACAUAUUCAAAAAAUUUACUCGUUUGCAUUACCCAUAGCUACAAGAUCACAACACAGGCUAAAGGACUUCAAAACUGUAACAAGUGUCCAGUUCAGGUUCAAUGCCUUUUCAGUCUUAGUGAACAAUCUUCAGACAAGAGCUCAAUCUCAACAGAAGAUGCAAACACAAACACAGGAAGUGCAAUGCAAGCAGGGUAA